GUUACAUACACACACAGUGCCUUGCGCUUCUUCAUAGCCAUUCAAGUACAAUACCAUGUAUUUGCAACUCUAGACAAACACUCACAUUGCCAUGCAUUUAUCAUUAUAAGUGAGCAUACACAAACACACAUUUACACAACACCAUAAAUGUACUAUUACGUUACACAUACUCCUACAGCACUAAUACAGACAAACAUUUAUCUAUAGAGCACCAUGC